CCUGCUCAAUGAACAUUAAAUAGCCGCGUCUUCGUGCUAAGGUAGCAUAAUAAAUUGUCUUUUAAUUUUAGAAUAGAAUGAAAGGAUUAACGAAUUAUAAACUUUUUUAUAGUUAAAACCUUAACUUUUAUAAAAUGUAAAAAUACAUUUAUAAAAAGAAAAGACGACAAGACCCUAUCGAACUUCAACUUUAAGUUUAACUGGGGCGGUUAAUAAAUAAAAACUUAAACAUUCUCACAAAAAAUCUUUUUUGAAAAAUUAAUUAAGUUACCGUAGGGAUAACAGCACUAUAAAAUUUAAUAGAUCUUAUUUUAAAUUAAAUUUGUGACCUCGAUGUUGAAUUAUUAUUUCUAAUACGUGAAAAUACAUACAUAGAAAGUCUGUUCGACUUUUAAACUUUUACAU
rnacentral:rRNA from 1 species